UCCGCGGUAGCUCAGCGGUAGAGCAUCCGACUGUUAAUCGGACGGUCGUAGGUUCGAAUCCUACCCGCGGAG
rnacentral:tRNA from 1 species